GUGCUCACUUCAGCAGCACAUGUACUUAAAAAAUGGGAAUGAUACAGAGAAGAUUAACAAGGUCCUUGUGCAAGGUUGACAUGCAAAUCUGUGAGGUGUUCCACAUUUUU
ensembl:snRNA U6 U6 spliceosomal RNA